UACGGAGGGAGCUAGCGUUGUUCGGAAUUACUGGGCGUAAAGGGCGCGUAGGCGGAUUGUACAGUCAGGCGUGAAAUUCCCGGGCUCAACCUGGGGGCUGCGCUUGAGACGUGCGAUCUUGAGUGGGGAAGAGGGUCGUGGAAUUCCCAGUGUAGAGGUGAAAUUCGUAGAUAUUGGGAAGAACACCGGUGGCGAAGGCGGCGACCUGGUCCUUGACUGACGCUGAGGCGCGAAAGCGUGGGGAGCAAACAGG
rnacentral:rRNA from 1 species